UUACGGCCAUAUCACGUUGGAACACCGGAUCCCGUGCGACUUCCGAAGUUAAGCAACGACUAUCUUGUUCAGUAGCUAGAUGGGUGACUGCUUGGGAAUAUCAGGUGUUGUAAG